rnacentral:rRNA from 1 species
CAAACGACUCUCGGCAACGGAUAUCUCGGCUCUCGCAUCGAUGAAGAACGUAGCGAAAUGCGAUACUUGGUGUGAAUUGCAGAAUCCCGUGAACCAUCGAGUCUUUGAACGCAAGUUGCGCCCGAAGCCUUCCGGCCGAGGGCACGCCUGCCUGGGUGUCAUGC